GGGUGGGGCAGCCGUUGUAACUAUACUGAGACCUUAGAACUUAUAUCUCAAGGUGGGUGGCGCAUUUACGUUGUAGAUGUCCAUGGGCUCCAGUAACCACUUAACAUCAGGUGGGCUAUGAGCUCGUCCACCCACCUAAGCAAUAAAAAAAAAAAAUACAUAUAUAUCUGUU